rnacentral:rRNA from 1 species
GGAGAGUUUGAUCCUGGCUCAGGAUGAACGCUGGCGGCGUGCCUAAUACAUGCAAGUCGAGCGAACAGACAAGGAGCUUGCUCCUUUGACGUUAGCGGCGGACGGGUGAGUAACACGUGGGUAACCUACCUAUAAGACUGGGAUAACUUCGGGAAACCGGAGCUAAUACCGGAUAAUAUUUCGAACCGCAUGGUUCGAUAGUGAAAGAUGGUUUUGCUAUCACUUAUAGAUGGACCCGCGCCGUAUUAGCUAGUUGGUAAGGUAACGGCUUACCAAGGCGACGAUACGUAGCCGACCUGAGAGGGUGAUCGGCCACACUGGAACUGAGACACGGUCCAGACUCCUACGGGAGGCAGCAGUAGGGAAUCUUCCGCAAUGGGCGAAAGCCUGACGGAGCAACGCCGCGUGAGUGAUGAAGGUCUUCGGAUCGUAAAACUCUGUUAUUAGGGAAGAACAUACGUGUAAGUAACUAUGCACGUCUUGACGGUACCUAAUCAGAAAGCCACGGCUAACUACGUGCCAGCAGCCGCGGUAAUACGUAGGUGGCAAGCGUUAUCCGGAAUUAUUGGGCGUAAAGCGCGCGUAGGCGGUUUUUUAAGUCUGAUGUGAAAGCCCACGGCUCAACCGUGGAGGGUCAUUGGAAACUGGAAAACUUGAGUGCAGAAGAGGAAAGUGGAAUUCCAUGUGUAGCGGUGAAAUGCGCAGAGAUAUGGAGGAACACCAGUGGCGAAGGCGACUUUCUGGUCUGUAACUGACGCUGAUGUGCGAAAGCGUGGGGAUCAAACAGGAUUAGAUACCCUGGUAGUCCACGCCGUAAACGAUGAGUGCUAAGUGUUAGGGGGUUUCCGCCCCUUAGUGCUGCAGCUAACGCAUUAAGCACUCCGCCUGGGGAGUACGACCGCAAGGUUGAAACUCAAAGGAAUUGACGGGGACCCGCACAAGCGGUGGAGCAUGUGGUUUAAUUCGAAGCAACGCGAAGAACCUUACCAAAUCUUGACAUCCUUUGACAACUCUAGAGAUAGAGCCUUCCCCUUCGGGGGACAAAGUGACAGGUGGUGCAUGGUUGUCGUCAGCUCGUGUCGUGAGAUGUUGGGUUAAGUCCCGCAACGAGCGCAACCCUUAAGCUUAGUUGCCAUCAUUAAGUUGGGCACUCUAAGUUGACUGCCGGUGACAAACCGGAGGAAGGUGGGGAUGACGUCAAAUCAUCAUGCCCCUUAUGAUUUGGGCUACACACGUGCUACAAUGGACAAUACAAAGGGCAGCGAAACCGCGAGGUCAAGCAAAUCCCAUAAAGUUGUUCUCAGUUCGGAUUGUAGUCUGCAACUCGACUACAUGAAGCUGGAAUCGCUAGUAAUCGUAGAUCAGCAUGCUACGGUGAAUACGUUCCCGGGUCUUGUACACACCGCCCGUCACACCACGAGAGUUUGUAACACCCGAAGCCGGUGGAGUAACCAUUUGGAGCUAGCCGUCGAAGGUGGGACAAAUGAUUGGGGUGAAGUCGUAACAAGGUAGCCGUAUCGGAAGGUGCGGCUGGAUCACCUC